rnacentral:rRNA from 1 species
CAGCACCGCGGGAAUACGGAGGGUGCAAGCGUUAAUCGGAAUUACUGGGCGUAAAGCGCACGCAGGCGGUCUGACAAGUCAGAUGUGAAAUCCCCGGGCUUAACCUGGGAACUGCAUUUGAAACUGUCAGGCUGGAGUCUUGUAGAGGGGGGUGGAAUUCCAGGUGUAGCGGUGAAAUGCGUAGAGAUCUGGAGGAAUACCGGUGGCGAAGGCGGCCCCCUGGACAAAGACUGACGCUCAGGUGCGAAAGCGUGGGGAGCAAACAGGAUUAGAUACCCGAGUAGUCCCUGUCUCUUAUACA